UUCCUGUUAGACUAGCGGCUAGUAUGCGGCGCUCUGACCGCCACGGCCCGGGUUCGAGUCACGCUCAGAUAA